UUUUUUUCUUUAGUUUCAGUUCGAGAGUUACUUUCCGCCACCUUUCCCGAUGUUAGCUACCAGAUAGUCAACCUUGUUGCCACGCCCAAUAUGCGAUACUAUCCUAAAGAGACUCGAAGGUCCCACCAAGGAUAGAACCGCAUAUUGAAACGCUUUGCAAGGUGGAUAUCAUUACAUCAACAUUACAUAAUAGAUGGGGAUACAUACAUAAGGCAUACAAUGCCACACGGAUACAACAAUAUAUCAUACACAAUAUCAACAUCCGACUACGGAUGAAACACAAACAGAAGCUCAAACGACAUCCACCCUGCUAGCCCAGGCUGCCGACCUGGAACCUAUCCCCUGAUCGAAGGAGCAGAAGAAGAUCUCAACGCAAACAAGCAAUGCUCUUGCAUCAUGAUCAUCGCAUAACCUGUACCUGCAACUGUUGUUGUAGUAAUCUGUGAGCCACGAGGACUCAGCAAUCCCAUUACCAUGGGUAUCAAGACUAGCAAAGCUUAAAGGGAAAGGAAGGGGUAAAGUGGUGAGGCUGCAGCAGCGACUAAGCAUAUAUGGAGGCUAACAUACGCAAAUAAGAGCGGGAAGAGAGCAAGCGGAACAGUCGUGAAGCUAGCAAUGAUCAAGAAGUGGUCCUGAACUCCUACUUACGUCAAGCAUAACCCAAAAACCAUGUUCACUUCCCAGACUCCGCCGAGAAGAGACCAUCACGGCUACACACGCGGUUGAUGCGUUUUAAUUCGAAUCUGGUGUCAAGUUAUCUACAACCGGACAUUAACAAAUUCCCAUCUGCCUAUAACCGCAGGCACGGCUUUCGAAAGAUUAUACCCUAAAGGGGUGUCCCAACUUAGCCCAUGACAAGCUCUCGCGAUCAACGAAGGAAUAGACCUUCUCCCAGGAAGACCCGAUCAGACUUGGAAUCCCGGGUUACAAGACAUUUCGACAAUGGUAAAACAAGACCAGCAAGACCUCCCGAUGCGCCGACAAUCCCGAUAGGAGCUGCACAUAUCUCGUUCUCAAGGCAACACCGGAUAAGCUAAGCGUACAGGAACCGACGUAACCCAAGUUGCCAAGGGAUGGCCUCGCACGGUGCUCUAGUUUGUACCAACACUUAGACAAGCAUUGGCCCGGGGGGGCUGUAAUAAAGAUGACCCUUGGGUUAAUUACUCCCAAGGGAAAUAUAGGUGGUGGUGAGGUAAAUGGUAAAACCAAUGUUGGGCCUUGCUGGAGGAGUUUUAUUCAAAGCGAACUGUCAAGGGGGUCCCAUAAAUCACCCGACCGCGUAAGGAACGCAAAAUCCGGGAACAUAACACCGGUAUGAUGGAAACUAGGGCGGCAAGAGUGGAACAAAACACCAGGCAUAAGGCCGAGCCUUCCACCCUUUACCAAAUAUAUAGAUGCAUUAAUAAUAUAAGAGAUAUUGUGAUAUCCCAACCAAAAUCCUGUCCACCAUGGAGCAAUAUUCAACUUCACCUGCAACUAACAACGCUAUAAGAGGGGCUGAGCAAAGCGGUAACAUAGCCAAGCAACGGUUUGCUAGGAAAGGUGUCAAAGGUUAUAGGUUCAUGGCAACAUGGGAUGGCUCGACAAACAGAUGAUAGGUAGCACAGCAAAGCGAUAGAACGAAGCAACUAGCAUAGCAAUGAUAGUAGUGAGAUCCAGGGUAGCGGUCAUCUUGCCUGAAAUCCCGCAAGGAAGAAGAACGAGUCCAUGAAGAAGACAAGCGGACGUAGUCGAACGAAUCCUCACAAUCGCAAUAUUACCGGAACUAAGAAGCAACACCGGAAAGAAACAAACAACAUGGUAAAUAACCAUCACAUAAACAUGGCAUGAUGCACAACCAAGUAUGAUGCAUGUCCGGUUUAAUGAGGCAUGGCAUGGCAAAGUGCAACAAACAAUACUACAAGUUAAGUGGAGAUCAAUAUGCAACGAGUUGCAUAUUGACGAAACACCACAUCAAUUAUUUAGUUCUCUCUCGGUUUUGUACCCAACAAUAUUAAAUGUUAUUAAACAUGGCAAGGGGGUGAAACAUAAUGAAACUACCUAUCUAGGCAAGUUUAAAUGAGGCCGGAAACAACAAACAAUAAUUCCGGAAAAUCCCCAUGUGCAUAUUUUAGAUUCGGUACUGUUCUGCCCUAAACACAAUUUUAUUGUUGUUAAACAGGAAAAUAAAGGCACCAUGUUAAACUAGGCAUUUUUCCACCCCAUUUAGAUAUAAAGUUUAAUUAAUUCGGAGCUACGGUUAUUUAGUUAUGAAAUAAAUCAUUUUAGCAUGGCAUAUUAGAAAAUUUAAACAAACAACAAGUUAAACAUUUUUAACAUAGAUGAAAGUGGCAUAUUACUAAUCUACACAAUUUUCUGAGCAUUUUACAUAUAUAAAUUAUUUUAAACCGAUGCACAGUUUGUGAGAUAUUAAAUGCAUGAAGUGCAAGGACUUUUCUGUAAAACAUUAAUUCCCGGAUAAAUAGACAAAUUCGCAGAAUGGAAAAAAACUACUCUGGGCCGAAUCUGGAGGCUGGCCCAACAGGAGCAGGGAUGCUGGAGGCUCACCAUGGGCUCUUGGCCCGGUAGUGGAAAAGAGGCGGGCCGACCUGGGCCGUGGGGAGGUCCACGUGCAGCCCACACGCGGUGGUCGUGCGUGUGCUCGCACGCACACGAGCGCGUGCAUGCAGGCACGACCAUGGCGCAGGGCGGCGGCUGCGCUGGCCGGCAGGGAGGCUAGGAGGAGGCCGGGGUUGCGGGAACGAGUGGAUCCGAUCGGCGACUCGCUGGAUCCGGUGGUGGAGACGCGGGGACGGGCGGAUCUGGGAGCUCGGAGCUCUGGGACGGCGGCAUCCUGUGGAAGGGAGAGAGAUGGUGAGGAAGGAGGAGAGCAGAACGGAAGAUGGCGGGGGCGGCGACCUUGGACGGCGGAGAGGGCGGCUCCAGCGACGGCUGGAGGAGGCCGGCAGCGGGAUCCGCUGGGUUGCCGGCGACGACGGCGGGGCGAAAACGCUCGGGCACCAAGCUGGAGGUGCGGGGUGAGGCGAGGAGCGGGCGGCGGCGCGGGGUCGGGCCGACCUGGGCCCAGAUAGGCUUGCACGGGCCGCGCGCGGGCUCGGGCGGAUGGGGGCGCUGGAGGUAGGCGCAGGGGACGCGUGGCGCCGUGGGAGAGGCCGGAGGGCGCUGGCGGGGCAAGGUGGCGCGCGCUGGUUGGUCCGGGCGCGGUGGCGGCAGCGCCAAGUGGCGGCAGGGCUGUGGUCGGGCGCGGAAUCUGAGGAGGACGGGCUAGGAGAUGCCCAAAAUGGACUAGGGGGUGUUUAUAUAUAGCAGUUUUGCUAGGGUUUGGUUUUUGGGGUUUUUUUGGAGCCCUCCGAUCUCGAUCGGGCGGUUUUGGAUGCGAGGGGGGUUAGGUAGGAGGGUAGAUGGGCUGUGUAGAAGGGUUGGGCUGAGAGGAGAGAGAUGACAUGCGGCCCGGCAACUGUUUCGGAGGCCGAAACGUCCGACGAAGAUACCGACAAGGGUACCGCUAUAUGUUUAACGGUUGGGCUAACAAACAGACUCCGAAUGCGACGAAACUUGACAGGCAGCCUGUCUACACUAUAAUAAGACCGCAUGACAAGUUGCAACCCAUUCCGAGAACAUUUUUAUGCCACUUAUAAAAUAAUAUUUCGGAGGUGCCGCGGGCGCAUGCGAGUGUGGUCGGGCUCAGAACGGACAACGGAGAGAACCGGCAGAACAUAUAACGGAUGCAAGUUUUAUGAAAACGAUGCCGAUGCAAUGCGCAUGAUGACAUGAGAUGAGAUGCAUAACAAGAACAAAAUGCAAAACAACAGACAAAAACCCAACCAUGAAGGAAAUAUCAUAUAGCAUCUCCGGAAAAGGCAAGAGUUGGAGUUACGAAUAUGGAAAGUUGUAUCCGGGGCGUUACAACACUCCACCACUAUGAGAGGAUCUCGUCCCGAGAACUAGGAUGGCACCGGAGAGAAACAGAAAGGGAAGAGAAGAGGUAAAACUAAGUUACUUCUUAGACAAAUGAGUGAAACCACGAACCUUGAGAAGUUGAGCAAUUAGAGAUGAACGAGAUUGCAAACAAUCCAUUAGAAAAGAGGAACGAGGAACAUUAUGAUAACUUGAAGGUUGCAAAGGCACGAAUCAAGAGUUUAAUGGACAAGAUAGAAUUCAAAACCACUCCGGUUACAACAAGAUGAGAGAGGAAGAAUUCAGGCAGCACUCCGGUUGAACAUGGAAGGAAUAAAACAUGAACUUAACAAGAUGAGAGGAUACUUGAUGAAAUCGACAACACACUGCCUCCGGAACUAUUGAAAAAAAUGGCACAAGGGGUAAGAAGGAUUUCAGACAGCACUCCGGUUGAAAAGAGAAGCAAAACUUGAUAAGAUGAAAGAGCGUGAAGAGAUGACACAACACUCCGGUUAAAUGGAUAAGCACGAAAAGAACAUGAUCUUGACCAAACGCGGGAAUGGGUGAGGAGAGCAACAUUACAAUGACUCUGUAACGAAAGAAUAGAAGUUAGACCGUUGGGAUAAAGGGACGAGAAGAAAAUGACAACUUGUGCCACAAAUGAGCUUGGAAAACACCCUUCCAAGAUGGUUACAACGGGGUUGUUGGAAAACCAACAACGAAAAGAAUAAGCUUGUAGUGGGCUUAUGGAAACAUCGCAAGACUAUGAGAUGACAUUCUGCCAGUAACGAAAAACAAUUGCUUGUUUGAGAUCAACGAAGAGAUGAAAAACCUCUUUCACCGAGAAGGAUAUGGAGAAAGCUUGGAUCAAUGAUAAGCACCACAAAUAGCAACAUUCCUUAGGGAAGGCUUUAGGUGAAAACUAACCCAAGAUAACUCCAACAAAGAGAUUGAUGGAUUUAAAAUACCUCAUUCUUGAGAACAUGUGAAUCAAGAAACAUGAACUCAAAAUUAUCAAGAAUGACAUAACACCACCUCAAAUGAUAAGGUAGAAAGAAUUGCACUUUGGAAUGCAGGAUGAAGAAUACUUGAGCUCCUCAAAACAAGACAUGUGUUUAGCACCAUGUUUAAUUUUGAGUAUAGCUUGGCGGAUCAUCACCUCGAGAGAAAUCUUGAAGAACAAUUGAAGAAUGAAAAGAAUCCUUGAUGAACCAUCAUGUAGAGCCUCCAUGAAGAACUCUGGUAAUAAAAGGAUGAUAGAAGGGAAGAGAAGUUGAAAACACAAGGUGACGCCUUGCAAUGAUUUAGAUGGAGCUUCGCGACGAUAAUGCGGAAAACUUGGAAAUCCGGAAAUAAAAGAAUUGAAUCACCUCGAGGAAAUAAGAAUAAGAUUUAUUGUAUGCUUAUCCUUCAUCAAAUUAAAUUGAUGACAAGCAAUGGAUUUGGCAUACUACUUAUUCUCGUAGACAGGAUUAAGAGAGAUAUAGAGCAAACUUGAGAGGUCUUGAUGGAACCACCGAUGGGAUUGAAACAACGAAAGAAUGGAUGAAUUGAUACGAUAACGAAGAAAGUGAAAUCUUGAACGAACCAUCGAAAGAAUUGAAAAAGACCAUAGCAAAGGCACAAUUCACCGGGAAGAAUUGGAAAACAAAUGAAGAUAUUUGAGGGGAUUUAGAUCCAAAAGAACAAAGAGAUCAUGAGCUGAUUAAAGAGCACUUGAACGAAGCACCGGGAUAAUUGGAUAACGGUAGCUGAAAUGUGAGGGCGAAGAAUUCUUCUGGAACGAUGGCCUCCGGAUGAAAGAAAUGAAAACAACUCAUGAAAUGCUUCGGAUGGUAAGAAAAGAAUUGUCACAAUCAAAAUAAUUAUGAGGAUGGCAUGAAGCUAGAACCAUGAAUCUUUGGAAGAACUGUUAAGGAUUUAAGAGGAACUCUUCUUUGGUCUUCAAAUGUUUAGAAUGAUGAUGAGAACCACCAUGAAUUGUUGAGAUACUCCGAGAGAAUGAAAAGCGAAGGGGUUGAGCCAACGAUGAAAAGUGUUUGAAAGAUCUUGGAGAAAGACAUAUGACUGAUGAUAAUUCAUUCUUACGUCAAACUUCGAAAGACUUUGGGAAUGGCUCCGGGAAAAUUAGAAGAGUCAGGUAAGAUCCUGGAAAAAGACCCGUGGGUUAGGGCCCACUCAAAAGAUACACCGUUGAACAAUUGAUUGAAAGGGGGGAUUGCACCAGUUGAAUUAAAUGACUUGAAUGAGAUAACAACCUCAAAAUAUAUUGAACGUAUUGAGAAUGGAAACACAAGUCUUCUAAGAUAUCUUCAACACUCCAGAACAAAUGAAUAGCAAGAGGUGAGUGAUUGAGAGGUGCACCGGCAUGAGAAAUCAUUUGACACGAGGAAAGGAAUAUGAUCAACACUGAAAGCUUGAAUUAAAUCCACCGGAAAAGAAUACGAGAAUGAAGAUUGAUGAACUUGUAGCUCGUGAGCAACUUCACGAGGGAUAACCGGGUCAGAACAUUGAUUGAAAAGAGUGAAGAGACUUCACAUGAAUAAAUGGAUACUUGAUUAACAUAUAUGAGUCCUUGCAGAAAAAGGGUGGGAGGGCGGGAAAACAAAGACAACUUGGGAUGGAUGAAACGGAUACCGUUGAGAAAACUUAGAAUUGAUCUUGCGGAUGUUGAAAAUGAUCGGAUCCACUUGAAGAGAAGCACGCCGGUUGGAAAAGAAUUAACAUGACAACCUCAAUGAUCAAGAAGGAUUAGCACUCCCAUAGAAAUAUUAGAACACCAUUUAGGAAAGGUAUGGAUUCAACACUUGACUUUGAAGCAACUCGAAUACCACAAAUAAAACAAAACAAAGGAUUGGCUUGCAGAAAUAAGCCGGAACAAACAUAUGAUAGAGAUUUCGUCCGAAGUUUUCGUGGUGGGGCCCACACGGGCUUGAUUGUACAGCACCAUCAUGUACAAGGCAGUGCACAUGACAUACGAAGUGUCCCUGAACCAGCAUAGCCAAGGGUUCUUUAAGACACAACGAGACCACUGUAAAAACGAAUGUGGAAAGGCGGACCACUAGACGUCAAACCCCAAUCUCAUAUCAUGCAUCUGUCGAAAAGAUAUUCUAGGAGCUACUUGAAUUCCCACCUAUAAAACUCCCGAAACUUUUUGGUUAUGCAAUCUGGUGUUGGGGAUACAGGGGAAGCAAUAUAUCUCACCCAAACUAACAAUACCUACAUCCAAGCUGUAUCCAUCCGUCAACACAUAACCAAGAAACCUUCGGAAAUCGUGUACCUCAACCUUCGAAAAGCAUCCGUUAUACGAGUUAUGGCAAUACUCCCGAACUCCCCAGUACUGGGUGACGUCGAGGUUAUCUCACCAACAACUGCAUAAAAGAGAUUUUCGAUGUCGGCAAAACUCAGAUAUUCCAGAACUGCAACGAUAAAAUUGUGACGACAACACCUCGGAGCUCAACUCCCCGGGUCAAUGCCACAUAAUAGACAGGAGGCACCAAGAACAAUGUUCUCGUCACAAAACCAUCGGAACGAUUCCAAGAUACCCGCGUGAUCCUAAAAAAACAAUUAGUGAAAUUUGAGGAGAGGAAAGACAAAACAUCUACGUCAGGAGACCUCACCAGAGCAACGAAGGGGCUGAGGAGUAAAAAGAAUCCUACUCUCCGAUAUAUAUAAUCCUAAGACUCAAAAAUAGUUUUCUUCUAGACUCAACAACGGCUAACAAUCAAGGGGGCUCCUAUGGUCGGUCGAGGCUCUGAUUACCAACUUGCCACGCCCAAUAUGCGAUACUAUCCUAAAGAGACUCGAAAGUCCCACCAUGGAUAGAACCGCAUAUUGAAACGCUUUGCAAGGUGGAUAUCAUUACAUCAACAUUACAUAAUAGAUGGGGAUACAUACAUAAGGCAUACAAUGCCACACGGAUACAACAAUAUAUCAUACACAAUAUCAACAUCCGACUACGGAUGAAACACAAACAGAAGCUCAAACGACAUCCACCCUGCUAGCCCAGGCUGCCGACCUGGAACCUAUCCCCUGAUCGAAG
rnacentral:lncRNA from 1 species